rnacentral:lncRNA from 1 species
AAAUAACCCCAAAAUGGCCCAAAUGGCCCCAAAUAACCCCCAAAUAACCCCAAAAUUGCCCCAAAUAACCCCAAAAUUGCCCCAAAUGGUCCCAAAUAACCCCACCCCCCCCCCCCCCCCUGAAUAACCCCAAAAUUACCCCCAAAUGACCCCAAAAACAGCCCCAAAUAUUUCGGGUUCAUUUUGGAGCUUUUCUUUGAAAAUUGCACUUCUGUACAAACGGCGCUUUUACCGAUUUUGGGGUUUUUUGCCUUUUUUUUGGGGGGGGGGGGGGGGUUCAAUUUUUGGGGUGGAAAAUAAAGAAAUUGGGACCCAACGCUGCUGUGGUUUUGUGGGGAGAUCCCAUAAUCCGGGAUUAUGGUCCUUAAUCCGGGAUUAGAGAGCCUUAAUCUGGGAUUACAGCCCAUAAUAUGGGAUUAGAGACCCUUAAUAUGGGAUUACAGCCCAUAAUAUGGGAUUAGAGACCCUUAAUCUGGGAUUAGAGACCAUAAUAUGGGAUUAGAGAGCCUUAAUCUGGGAUUAGAGACCAUAAUAUGGGAUUAGGGACCCUUAAUCUGGGAUUACAGCCCAUAAUAUGGGAUUAGGGACCCUUAAUCUGGGAUUGCAGCCCAUAAUAUGGGAUUAGAGACCCUUAAUCUGGGAUUGCAGCCCAUAAUAUGGGAUUAGAGAGCCUUAAUCUGGGAUUGCAGCCCAUAAUAUGGGAUUAGAGAGCCUUAAUCUGGGAUUACAGCCUAUAAUAUGGGAUUAGGAACUCUUAACCUGGGAUUACAGACCAUAAUACGGGAUUAGAGAGCCUUAAUCUGGGAUUACAAUCCAUAAUGUGGGAUUAGAGAGCCUUAAUAUGGGAUUAGGGACCCUUAAUCUGGGAUUGCAGUCCAUAAUAUGGGAUUAAAGGCCCUUAGUACGGGAUUAGAGAGCCUUUAUCUGGGAUUACAGUCUAUAAUGUGGGAUUAGAGAGCCUUAAUAUGGGAUUAGAGGCCCAUAAUAUGGGAUUAGAGUCCCGUAAUCCUAUAUUACAGACCUACUAUGUAAGGAAACCCCAUAAUCUGGCAUUGCAAUCCCCUAAUCCCACAUUGAAGACCAAUAAUAUGGGGAUACACCCCAUAAUACAAGACUACAGUGCCGUAAUUCCUAAUGGGAGUCCCAGAACCCGAGAUUAGAGGCCCAUAAUCUGGGGGAAACCCCAUAAUCUGGGAUUGCGAUCCCCUAAUCCCAUAUUAGAGACCCAUAAUAUGGGAUUAGACCUCCAUAAUCUGGGAUGGGAGUCCCAAAAGAUGGGAUUAGAGGCCUAUAGAUUCAGAUUAGAGGCCCAUAAUCUCAGAUUAGGGAUCCACACUCCGAGGGAUCCCCAUAAUCCGGGAUUCAGUCUCAUAAUCCGGACGUAGUGUUUUAUAAUCCAGAUUUAGUGUGCCAUAAUCCAGGGAAUGCCAUAAUCUGGGGCUGAACCCCGAAAUCCAGGGAUGAAAUGACCAUAAUCCCAUGGGGGGGUCCCCCUAAUCUGCAUUUGGAGUCACAGAAACCAGGAGGACCCCGUAAUCUGGGAAUGGUGCACCCAUAAUCUGGGAUUGGAGCCCCACAGUCCAAAGGGGGGGGCUCGUAAUCCAGGAGGAUCCCAUAAUCCAGCUUUGUAGUGUUCAUAAUCCAGAGUGAGGCCCCAUAAUCCAGGGGCCUCUUCAUAAUCUGGGCUUGGGCUGCCCAUAAUCCGGGUGCAAAUACCCAUAAUCCGGGGGGGGGGGGGAUGCCCUUUAUCGAGAAGAUGGAUGGAUAAUCCAGGAGUAUCCUCAUAAUCCGGGUUGAGAUGCCCAUAAUCUGGGUUGGGGUGUCCAUAAUCCAGGGUGUGACCCCAUAAUCCGGAUUGGGGUGCCCAUAAUCCGGGUUGAGAUGCCCAUAAUCCGGGUUGGAGUGCCCAUAAUCCGGGGUGUGAGCCCAUAAUCUAAGUUGAGAUGCCCAUAAUCCGGGUUGGGGGGCCCAUAAUCCGGGUUGAGAUGCCCAUAAUCCGGGUUGGAGUGCUCAUAAUCCAGGGUGUGACCCCAUAAUCCGGAUUGGGGCGCCCAUAAUCCAGGGUGUGACCCCACAAUCCGGGAUGUGGGCCCAUAAUCCAGAGUGUGAUCCCAUAAUCCAGGUUGAGAUGCCCAUAAUCCAGGGUGUGACGCCAUAAUCCAGGUUGGGGUGCCCAUAAUCUGGGAUGUGGGUGCGUAAUCCAGAGCGUGAUCCCAUAAUCCAGCUUGAAAUGCCCAUAAUCCAGGUUGGAGUGCCCAUAAUCUGAGCUGUGAGCCCAUAAUCCGCGUUGAGGUGCCCAUAAUCCAGAGCAGGGACCCCAUAAUCCAGGAUUAGCUCCCCAUAAUCUGGCUGGAGGCCCCCCUACGGGAGGUGCUCGGCCCUAUGAGAUGACGGAGAGGUAACGGGGAGGGGGGGGGGUCAUCAGUGUGACCCCAUCCCGGGAUUAGGAUAUGUGGGAUUAGGGGAUUAUGGGAUUAUGGGGGGACGGCACUCACUCGGGGGGGGCAUCACAGCGGCUGCCGGAGCGCUCCCGGCCUGGGGGGGGCGUCCCGUGGUAAUCUGGGGGGGGUGAACGGGUCGUAAUCCUAAUCUGAAUCCCAUCAUUCCACUUAAUCCCAUAAUCCCGCCUAAGCACCCGGACUCAAAUAUCCCCAUAAUUCAUCUUAAUCCCACACUUCCAGCCCCAUGUAGCCCUCUAAUCCCAUCUCCCCACAUCCUACAACCCCAUAGCCCUAUAAUCCCACAACCCAACCACCCCAUAAACCCAUAAUCCCACAACCGAUGACCCCAUAAUCCCAUAAUCCCACCUCCCCACACCCCCAUAGUCUGCAUAAUACCACCCCCCACAUCCCAAAAACCCCAUAAUCUCAUAAUCCCACAGCCGAUAACCCCAUAAGCCCAUAAUCCCACCUCCCCACACCCCCGUAACCCGCAUAAUCCCACCCCCCACAUCCCAAACACCCCAUAACCUCAUAAUCCCACACCCCACGAUCCCCCAAAUCCCACCCCCUGCCCCCCGAACACCCCCAUAACCCACACAAUCCCACUCCCAGCAUCCCAAAGACCUCAUAACCCAAUAAUCUCACACGUCCUGCCCCAUAAUCCCGGCCUCCCUGCCCCAUAAUCCCAACUCCCACCCCCUAAUCACUCAUCCCCAUCACAUUAAUCCCCCCCUGCCCCAUAAUCCCGGCCUCCCUGCCCCGUAAUCCCAACUCCCACCCCCUAAUCCCUCAUCCCCAUCCCAUUAAUCCCCCCCUGCCCCAUAAUCCCGGCCUCCCUGCCCCAUAAUCCCA